UACGAAGGGGACUAGCGUUGUUCGGAAUCACUGGGCGUAAAGCGCACGUAGGCGGAUAUGUCAGUCAGGGGUGAAAUCCCGGGGCUCAACCUCGGAACUGCCCUUGAUACAGCAUAUCUUGAGUCCGAUAGAGGUGGGUGGAAUUCCUAGUGUAGAGGUGAAAAUUCGUAGAUAUUAGGGAAAGAACACCGGUGGCGAAGGCGGCCCACUGGAUCGGUACUGACGCUGAGGUGCGAAAGCGUGGGGAGCAAACAGG
rnacentral:rRNA from 1 species